UACGGAGGGAGCUAGCGUUGUUCGGAAUUACUGGGCGUAAAGCGCACGUAGGCGGCGAUUUAAGUCAGAGGUGAAAGCCCGGGGCUCAACCCCGGAACUGCCUUUGAGACUGGAUUGCUUGAAUCCUGGAGAGGUGAGUGGAAUUCCGAGUGUAGAGGUGAAAUUCGUAGAUAUUCGGAAGAACACCAGUGGCGAAGGCGGCUCACUGGACAGGUAUUGACGCUGAGGUGCGAAAGCGUGGGGAGCAAAC
rnacentral:rRNA from 1 species